rnacentral:rRNA from 1 species
AGCGAACGCUGGCGGAAUGCUUAACACAUGCAAGUCGCACGCUCUGCAAGGGGAGUGGCGGACGGGUGAGUAACGCGUAGGAAUAUGUCCAGAGGUGGGGGACAACCCUGGGAAACUGGGGCUAAUACCGCAUAUGGGCUGAGGCCCAAAGCAGUGAUGCGCCUUUGGAGUAGCCUGCGUCCGAUUAGCUUGUUGGUGGGGUAAAGGCUUACCAAGGCGACGAUCGGUAGCUGGUCUGAGAGGACGACCAGCCACACUGGGACUGAGACACGGCCCAGACUCCUACGGGAGGCAGCAGUGGGGAAUAUUGGACAAUGGGCGCGAGCCCGAUCCAGCAAUUCCGCGUGGGUGAAGAAGGUCUUCGGAUUGUAAAGCCCUUUCGACGGGGACGAUGAUGACGGUACCCGUAGAAGAAGCCCCGGCUAACUUCGUGCCAGCCGCCGCGGUAA